rnacentral:lncRNA from 1 species
UUUUUUUUUUUUUUGUGCCUGCAAUCCCUACAUACUCUGUAUGACUCAGAGCACGCAGGGCUUAUGAUAAGGACAGAAGUUCUCAGAGUGAGUCCAGUCAGGGACAAAAGGAAAGAAAGAAAGAAUAGGAGUUCCCAUCGUGGCGCAGUGGUUAACAAAUCUGACUAGGAACCAUGAGGAUGCAGGUUCGAUACCUGGCCUUGCUCAGUGGGUUAAGGAUCCGGCGUUGCCUUGAGCUGUGGUGUAGGUCGCAGACUGGGCUCAGAUCCUGCGUUGCUGUGGCUGUGGUGUAGGCAGGUGGCUACAGCUCCGAUUGGACCUCUAGCCUAGGAACCUCCAUAUGCCUCAAAAGGCAAAAAGACAAAAAAAGACAAGAAAGAAAGAAAGAAGAACAGAGCUUGGCUGGCUCGAAGAAAGCUCAUUCCGUUCCAUCUCACUUCAUACACAGAGUGACACAGACACACAGUGUGCCCCGAGGGCAAGGCUGACACCAGAAAACUCCACAGAGCUCACCUGGCACCUGCUCCCCUUUGCCGCCACACCAAGAGUGCUUUUCAGAAGUCAAAGCAGCACCAGCAGCAAAAUACCCCACAUACACCCAGAGAGAAACUGGUUUCUAAAAGUCAUCAGAAAGACUUUCAUCCCUCUCUUCUGUCUCGAGAAAGCCCGUGAGAGGCAUUCACUACGGGUUUCACAUCACAGACAAGCCUGGGAGCUGCAGCCCCAGCCCCCCGGGUGGGUAGGAGGCAGUGGGACAGCCAGGCGUAACACAAGACUGUUAUUUGAUCUUCAAAAAGCUAAGAAGUUUUUUGGAAGGGAACCAUCAGAGACUCCGAGUGGCCAGCCAACGGGAUGCCGCUGGAGGUUUGGGGGCUGGUCUGGCUGGUCCUUGGGAUCUGAGGCCCUGGCGCAUCCUGAGUCUCACUGGGUAUUGAAACCUGGCCACACGGGGGUACAGGGGGCUCAUCUUGCUGCAUCCACCCCGUGUGCUCCUGGGACUUGUCCAGAUUCCAUGAAAUGUCUUGUCAGAUGCUGGGUUUCAAUGUGCCUGUAUAGUAUAUACACUGCUUUAAACAAAGAUUCACACAUUCAGAUUUGCUGUGGGUGCGUUUCAUUCAUGAUGCUAUUUGUUUCUAAACCAAUUUGGAGGGGGGAGCGUGUGUAAAGUUGACCUUAAGGAUAUGAAGGCAUCAUAACUGUAACAGUUUGUACCUUUAAUUCUAAGAUGUCCCAAGACUGUGGGCCGCUCCACCACUGUGCCCAUGUGCCUUCUAGCGGGUGGUGACACUGCACCAACCAACUCUCAGAGCAUCCAGUGUGGAACUGUCACUUGUUCUGCCUUUGCGGCCUAACCCUUUAUCCUCCUGGUCUGGGUUUUGUUUGGUUGGUUGUUUGGUUGUUUUUUCCCAUCCACACAUUCCUCCUUCCUGGAAUCUGCUCUGUCUUAUAUGCUAUGGAAUUGAACUUAAUUUUAAACAUAUGUAAAUCAUUGAACGGAAAAUGUCUACUUGCUUUUACUAAUUUGAAAAACACAUGAGAAGGAUUAUUGUAUUUCUCUCCUAAAGAGCAAACAGAACUGGAUGACUUUUUUAUUUACGCAAUGAAGAAAGUAGGGAGGGGUGUGUGUGUGUGUGUGUGUGUGUGUGUAAAAGUCUCAAUUAACAAAAGCUUCCCCAUUCUUAUAGAACGUCUGCACUUUGGAUGAAAUACUUUUCAAUAAACAGUCCCAGUUGUGUUCGAAGAGCCUCCUUGCCCUAAGAACUGGCAGCUGAAUCCGGUUGUAUGUCAUCAAGAGUGGAGAAUUUUCUGGCCCAUUGGCAGUCAUUUCAUAUGUAAUUAAAUGAACAGAAACUUUGGGGGGGGGUGUUUGAAUUGGUUCUUAAAGCCCUAUUUUUAUUAUUUAGGUUUUUCAUUUUUUUGGCUGCACCUGCAGCAUGUGGAAGUUCCAGGGCCAAGGAUGGAACCCACGCCACAGCAGUGACCGGAGCUGCUGCAGUGACAACAGCAGAUCCUUAACCUGCUACACCACCAGGGAACUCCUGUACAGCCCUACUUUGUAAAUUCGCUUGCAGGGUGAACUGGAGUUAAAAAUAGAAAGAAAGAAAUAGGGCCUUUCAAAUAUUUCUCCUUUUACAUUCUAAGGCUAGUAGAAAGCUGUCCAUCUCCACUGAAGUUCAGAGUUUAAGAACAGAACCUUUGCUAAAGAAGCAGUUACUGCAGUUAGACGUGAACUACAGAUCAAUUAGUUACAAAUUCUACUCCUAAUGAGAUUUCUCACAGGAGAAGAGAUUAAAAACAAGAAAUCAAAACAGAUUUGAUUUCUCUAAAAAUCUCUAAAAGUGAUGGAUACUGGCGACUACAGCAGAAAAAAAAAAAAAAGUUCUAAUUGCAAUUUCUUGAUGUUUUCACCAAGCUACAUUGAAACAAAACAUUGUGUUGGAGUUGAUAAAAUCAAUUUCCCCUAGAGUUUUUUUUUUUUUUUUUUAACUGUAUGUUUUGUUUUUUUGCCGGAAGAAAUGGCUGGUCGCUGAUAGACCAAAGUGUUCAUUGUGCAAUUUGCAGCGGCUCCGUGUUCUCAAAAGAAGCAGAUUCGACCGUCUUCCUCUUGAUUAGUAAAACUACAUUAACCUAGUACAGGCCAAAAACAAACAAAAAAACAAAACCAAAAAAAUCUGUGGUUGCAUAACUUUUAAGAGCAAAAGAGAAUCUGAGUGCAGUUUAAUUUGGGGAAACUGAACCUAAAGAGGCUCAAACCAACUAAUUUAUCCCUAAAGCAGAUAAAGUAAUUUUAAGGUUGGUGUUUUCAAAACCAGCCAAGUGUUGGACUCGUGGUUUUAUGACUUUCAGUGAAAAAGCCAUGAAAUUUGAUUAUGCUCUUCCGAUGCCCAGAAACCAAGCAAAACCUUGGUUCUGAUCCAGGGCCAAGCUGAAUCUGCUGAAACUGGCUCCUAUUUCUGUUGCCAGACUGAAAACAUUUUUUCAUGACAAAUUUUCAGAAAUGCCCCUUUAUCUCCAAGGCCUUCUCCUAAAUCACAGGAAGCUUCCGGAACACGAAGGGCCCCGGGUCCUCAUGACCUGCUCCUCCUCCUGUGGCAAACACUGCUGGCCAGACUGCUGCUGGGCCUCCUCCCCUGUGUGACAAGAAAUAGGAAUGAGCUCGAAGCAUGAUCAGCAGUGCUGGGGCCUGAAGAACUUGAAUGCCCUGGGGCAUGGCUGGGGUUUCGUUUGGAGACUGGAGUAGCCAGGGGCAUUGUCAGGCUCCAGGGCACAUCACACAGACACGAUGGAGGCAAUUCCUCACCCUCAGGUACUGUCUGGUUCCUUCUCAGGGAUGACAGCAAGGUGGUGAGCCUGCCAGGUCAUCAAAAACGUGUUCUCUUUCAUUACCCAGGCCCUCCGAUCAAACGACAGGUCUGUAUCUUCAGGGCAACUACUCUAUUUUUAAAUGGAGAAAUUUCUAGAAGAGUUAUGACUUAUCCAGAAUAUUCUGAGAUUUCUUUGCUCAUGUACAUUUUCAAUAGCAUUGUCAUAACUGUAUAGGGGUAGAACACAUUUUUAAAAAUAAACUGUAGGGCUUGAUACAUCGUCAAAAAAGAAUUCUGGAGUUGCCGUUGUGGCUCAGUGGGGGAAGAACCCAACAUAGGGUCCCAUGAGGACACAGGUUCGAUCCCUGGCCUCACUCAGAGGGUUAAGGAUCCAGUGUUGCCGGGAGCUGUGGUUUAGGUCGCAGACACAGCUUGGAUCCCACAAUGCAGAUUCUCACAGAGCUGCAGCUCUGAUUCAACCCUUAGCUUGGGAAUUUCCAUAUGCCAUAGGUGCCCUAAAAAGACCAAAAAAAAAAAAAAAUACACAAAAAAAGAAGACGACAAUGAAGGCAAUUGGCUGAUGAGUAGGUCACUUCAGUCCGGCCUUGGAUGAAACAGGUAGACACUGGACUCUCAUUUUCGGGUCCGGGGUCCUUCCUGAGAACCUGGAGGGUUCUGAGGGCAGCUCCCCUUUUAAAGGCCAAGGUCUGUCCUCCUUCCCACGCCUUCCCGUCAAGAUCAGCAGAUGUCUGAUGUGCUGUCCUUAAUCCAUUCUCCCUCCUCUCUUCCGCUUUAGCACCUCAAGCUUGGAUGCCUUCGCAACCCCAAACUCCAACUGUUGUCUCAGCAGCCGAGCUUGGCUCAGGUGCCCAGACUUUCACUGGCUCCUUUUCGCUCAGAUCUUUGUUUCCCUUGAUCUUGCAAUACUUACGAAUGAACGACUUCCUUAAAGACUAAAGUAUCACAGAAUACUGGGCUCAUAUCAGUGAGUUCCACUGGGACAAUGUACAGUCAUUUCUGGCUACCUGUGUAAUUCUCCAAUUUAAGCUAAUCUGAGGAUUUUGUCUCAAGGUUUUCGGAUUGUUUUCAAUAGGGGGUUAAUCCAAACAACGGUAUUACAACAUCAUCAGAAGCAGAACCUGUACAGGUUUCUACACCAGACAUGCAUUUGGGAUACUGGAACACUUAGAGAGAAGAUGUAUAAAAAUGGCCGCAGGCAGAAAAUAUUCCCCCAAAGAGGCUCACAUCCUGGUCCCCCAACCUGUAAACAUGUUAGAUUAUAUGGCAAAGGGAGAUUACGGUCAAGAUGGGAUUAAGGUGGCUAACCAGUUGAUCUUAAAACUAAAAGAUUAGGACUUCCUCGAUGGAUGGCUCGGCGGGCUAAGGAUCCGACAUUUUCGCUGCUGUGGCAUGGGUUCCAUCCCUGGUCUGGGAAUUUCUGUAUCCUGCGGGUGCAGCUAAAAAAAAAAAAAAAAAACUGGAAGCUUAACCUGAACUCUCUAUGGAACUAAUAUAAUCAAUAGGGUCCUUAUAAGUAAGAGAAGCAGACAGAGGAGCCCUCAGGAUCACAGAGAGAUUUGAAGAUGCUGAAGCUGGCUUUGCAAGAUGGGAGACCACAGACCGAGGAUUGCAGGUAGCUUCUGAAAGCUAGACGUGGGAAAAGGCAGAUUCUCCCCAAGGCUCCGGAAGGCAUGUAGCCCUGCCCACAUCUUGGUCUUAGCCCAGGAGACUUGUGACUGCCAGAGCUGUAAGAUAAUACACUUACAUUGUUUUAAACCACUAAUUUUGUGGUAAGUGUUGUAGUAGCAAUAAGAAACAAAUAAAGUGCGUUCCUUGGUGUGUUAUUUAAUGUAGCUUUUUGAUUUCCCCUAAGAAAACCAUGAUUCAGCUCAGCUCUUACUCCACAGGAACGUGCAGGGCAGAGCAGUCCAGGCUGAGCGGGUCAAUUAGAGGCACGUUGAUGCCGUGUUGCAGUGACACUGAUAUUCGGGGAGCAACAAAGAAAUUAAGCUUUUAUUAACAUUUCACAGACAUACGGCAUCAGAGUAGCCCGUUUCCCAAUCAAGGGAAGGGAGAAGGUGGGGAUAUAUGUUCCCUUGGCUCAGACACUGCGUCCCCCAGGCUUUGCCCUUGCACACGCUGUGUGGCAGCUCAGACGUGUCCAUAUGCAGCAUCUCACGGCUAUGCAUCCCAAUUGUCCGAUUUUCUAAACCAUCCCUGCCAGCCUGUAAACUUCGAAAGGGCAGGUACCACGUCUUAUUCAGUGUUGUGUUUUGCCUGUUGUGAGAACAACAGGAUGGAUAAUCAAUAAAUAUCGGUUGAAGGGAAUUUAAUUAAGAAGAGUGGAAUGGAUUGCGGAAAUGAAGACCUCACGGGGAAAAUUGAUAGGGAAACUUAAUAAUGCUUUGUGUUCACUAUAAUAAAUAAUAAAGACAGAAACUGAGGGAAAGCAAUAUUGGUUAUGGGCCACUUUUAAGGAGUACGUACUCAGCAAGUUAUAGUCAUGAUCGUUAUUUAUUUAUUAUUACAAAUUGCUCUGUGGACACAACGCCACCGGCUGUGUCUCUCUUCGAAUACCGGUGCCUACUCCUGUCUCCAGUGCCCUCUCGCUUCGUAGAUCAAAUCAUCAUUUGAAAAUGUGAAAAUUCAAGUUCUUGUGGAUUGGGGAAAAUGUAAAGGGAGAAAUUGACAUAUGCUGGAAUUUUUCCCGGGGAAGGUGAUUUAUGUUUAGAGAGAGAGACAUUUAGAAAUAGAUGAUAUGGGGAGUUCCUGUCGUGGCGCAGUGGAAACGAAUCCUAUUAGGAACCAUGAGGUUGUGGGUUCCAUCCCUGGCCUCGCUCAGUGGGUUAGGGAUCUGGCAUUGCCGUGAGCUGUGGUGUAGGUUGCAGACACAGAGCCGUGGUGUAGAUCUGGCGUGGCUGUGGCUGUGGUGUAGGCUGGCAGCUGUUUCUCUGAUUAGACCCCUAGCCUGGGAACCUCCAUAUGCCAUGAGUAUGGCCCUAAAAAGGAAAUAAAUAGAUAAAUAAGAAUUAAAAUUUUAAAAAGUUGCGAUUCUCCCUUAAACUAAAAAAAAAAAAUGUAAAAAGAAAUAGAUGAUAUAGAUGUGAUAUGUUCUAGGAGUCUAUUUUCUACCUGAAUUUUAGGGCAAUUCAGAAGGAAGGGGUG